AUAAAUUAAGAAGUGAAUCUGCAGGACGCCUUGAUAGGUGUAUACUGUGCACUAUUCAUUCGUGUUCUAUUAUAGCAAUUACUUCUACUAAAAAGUUUUUUGGGGUUUGUUAUAUGCUUAUCAGGGCUCUUUCUUCCGACUAAUAGCUAACUCAGAAUUUCAGCAGCGGCAGUUGCCCAUGAAGGCACAGUGAGAUGGUUUCUAUAUCUAUAUAGACAGCAAUCAUUAGUAUUUAGAUACUAGCAACUGCAGUUUCAGUUUUAGCAACAAGAAGUGAUCUUCUCAAUUAGAACACGAAUGAAUAGUGCACAGUAUACACCUAUCAAGGCGUCCUGCAGAUUCACUUCUUAAUUUA